rfam:Myotis brandtii contig218642, whole genome shotgun sequence.
GGCAGUUCUUGGGUGCCGCACCCCGGAAUUGGGCUCCCUCCUCUCUGGUUCCAGGUGUGUCACCCAAAAAUGGCA